UCCCUGGUGGCUCAGAUGGUAAAGAAUCUGCCUACAGUGCAGGAGACCCGGGUUCAAUCCCUGGAUUGGGAA
rnacentral:tRNA from 1 species